rnacentral:rRNA from 1 species
UAGGGGGCAAGCGUUGUCCGGAAUUAUUGGGCGUAAAGAGCGCGUAGGCGGUCCGGUAAGUCGGCUGUGAAAGUCAAGGGCUCAACCCUUGAAAGCCGGCCGAUACUGUCGGACUAGAGUCCGGAAGAGGCGAGUGGAAUUCCCGGUGUAGCGGUGAAAUGCGCAGAUAUCGGGAGGAACACCUGUGGCGAAAGCGGCGCACUGGACCACAACUGACGCUGAGGCGCGAAAGCUAGGGGAGCAAACAGG